rnacentral:rRNA from 1 species
GCUGACGAGCGGCGGACGGGUGAGUAAUGCCUGGGAAUAUGCCUUGAUGUGGGGGAUAACCAUUGGAAACGAUGGCUAAUACCGCAUAAUGCCUACGGGCCAAAGAGGGGGAUCUUCGGACCUCUCGCGUCAAGAUUAGCCCAGGUGGGAUUAGCUAGUUGGUGAGGUAAUGGCUCACCAAGGCGACGAUCCCUAGCUGGUCUGAGAGGAUGAUCAGCCACACUGGAACUGAGACACGGUCCAGACUCCUACGGGAGGCAGCAGUGGGGAAUAUUGCACAAUGGGCGCAAGCCUGAUGCAGCCAUGCCGCGUGUGUGAAGAAGGCCUUCGGGUUGUAAAGCACUUUCAGUCGUGAGGAAGGUAGUUGCGUUAAUAGCGUAAUUAUUUGACGUUAGCGACAGAAGAAGCACCGGCUAACUCCGUGCCAGCAGCCGCGGUAAUACGGAGGGUGCGAGCGUUAAUCGGAAUUACUGGGCGUAAAGCGCAUGCAGGUGGUUUGUUAAGUCAGAUGUGAAAGCCCGGGGCUCAACCUCGGAAUUGCAUUUGAAACUGGCAGACUAGAGUACUGUAGAGGGGGGUAGAAUUUCAGGUGUAGCGGUGAAAUGCGUAGAGAUCUGAAGGAAUACCGGUGGCGAAGGCGGCCCCCUGGACAGAUACUGACACUCAGAUGCGAAAGCGUGGGGAGCAAACAGGAUUAGAUACCCUGGUAGUCCACGCCGUAAACGAUGUCUACUUGGAGGUUGUGGCCUUGAGCCGUGGCUUUCGGAGCUACGGCGUUAAGUA